GGCAGCUGUGUUAUCUAAUGUACACAAAAUGCUAAUUAACCCCUUUUGCUACCGUCACUCUUUUACUCCAAUAUCUUCAUGUUCAACCAGAGAGACUAAAUUUAGAAAAGGCCUCUUUCCUGAGAGCUCUAAGUACACCUAAAGAGCUCAACCUGAGAAAUAAGCUCAGAAACUUAGAUGUGACCUGGAAACGGGAUUUUUCUGGGACUCCCCAUUAGACAGAUGUUUGGGGCUCUGGGGUCUUUCAGUUGACUCACAGCUCAACAAACUCCUACAGAAACCUACGAGGAGCCAUCGGAACACGAGUGCAAGGCGAAAAAGACCACUCCCUGGCUAAUGUUUGUGACAAUCUGAUGGAGAAGGUAUUGCACCUUCGUGCCUAAGUGCAAGGAAAGAAACAAAGGAAGAUGCCAAGAACCAAAGAGAUAGGCUAGGCUACCAGCAAUGAAAUGGAGAUUGUGACACCAAAUUUUCUGAGGACAUGGUCAUCCUGAAUAAAAUUGAGGCUGUGCUGGUGCUGAGAAGGGAAGGACCGGUACUGGGCCCACAACAAGCAGCAGCUGUCUCAGCACAUUAUCAGAAAAUCAGAUUGAAAAAUUAUCACUGAGAACAUUCUUUGUCAGAGCUUAUGUGUGGUUUCAAAUGAGUUCAAUGGGGAUGAGAAUUUUACAAGAGUCAGGAAUGAGCAUUCAUAGGGACAAACUGAUCCUGAAACGCCUGCCAACUCGGGGUCAAAAUGAAGACUGAAGGGAAAGAAUUAUAACGAGACUGACACCGUCAGUUCUAUAAGGACCAAGCCACCAGCCACUGCCGUCACUGACACUACAACCUGAAGGGGAUACAGAGCAAAAUCGAGAUGAGACCUCUGUGCUCUGAGAAACUGAAAGAUUUGGCUCUCUGACAGCUGGAUGUUUUCAGGGGAAAUUUUUAUGAGCCUAAUUUCCUGCAUCUUCCCAUAUUCAGAAAAAUAACUAAGGUAUCUGUUCCUCAUCAAAGUUCUACCGGAUAGUGCUGCUCAAAACAGCUAACAUUGGACAUUAUAAAUCUUUUAUAUUUUGGGCAAUAAAAUAAAUUUAAUAAGGCCUCAUCUUAAGUUUUAUGCUUUAAUUCAAGUUGUAACCAUUUAAAAAUUGUUAUUGAUUAUAUUUCUUUUAGUAAAUGGCUGUUCACAGCCAUUCUCCAUUUUUCUAUAGGAUUGUUUGUAUUUAUCAUUAAUAUGCAAGGUAGUUAUUGAAUGACAAUAUAUCAGAGCAAGAGUGAUCUAAAUAAUAUCAUAGUGACAUUUAUCCCAUAAAAGCGUUUUGCUUCAUAAUUUGUAAAAUAUAUAUAUAUAUUCAUCAAAGUAAUUUUCUAUAAGAUCUUAAAUCAAGACUUGAUUAAUAGACUUAUGAUUAUGAAUAGAAACUAACUAAACUGUUUUUCUUAAAGAAUUAGAUACAUCUUAAAUAACUUAACUUUAUUCCCAGUUUUCUAUAACUACAGAGGUUUUAUUGAAUUGAAAGACCAAGAAACUAUAUAAGUCCUCAAAUAUCUGG